rnacentral:rRNA from 1 species
GAUGAACGCUGGCGGCGUGCCUAAUACAUGCAAGUCGAGCGAACAGACGAGGAGCUUGCUCCUCUGACGUUAGCGGCGGACGGGUGAGUAACACGUGGAUAACCUACCUAUAAGACUGGGAUAACUUCGGGAAACCGGAGCUAAUACCGGAUAAUAUAUUGAACCGCAUGGUUCAAUAGUGAAAGACGGUUUUGCUGUCACUUAUAGAUGGAUCCGCGCCGCAUUAGCUAGUUGGUAAGGUAACGGCUUACCAAGGCAACGAUGCGUAGCCGACCUGAGAGGGUGGUCGGCCACACUGGAACGGAGACACGGUCCAGACUCCUACGGGAGGCAGCAGGAGGGAAUCUUCCGCAAUGGGCGAAAGCCUGACGGAGCAACGCCGCGUGAGGUAGGAAGGUCUUCGGAUCGUAAAACUCUGUUAUUAGGGAAGAACAAAUGUGUAAGUAACUAUGCACGUCUUGACGGUACCUAAUCAGAAAGCCACGGCUAACUACGUGC